rnacentral:rRNA from 1 species
CUUGGAAGCAGCAAUUCAUUUAAAGAGUGCGUAACAGCUCACUAGUCGAGCGUUUCUGCGCGGAAAAUAAGCGGGCAUCAAACUAUAUACCGAAGCUAUGGACUUAAGUGAUUAAGUGGUAGGGGAGCAUUCAGUCGGGUUGAAGCGGGAUGGUGAUGUUCCGUGGACUGAACUGAAAAGCAAAUGUAGGCAUAAGUAACGAUAAAUGGCGUGGAAAACGUCAUCGCCGUAAGACUAAGGGUUCCUUGAUCUACGUUCAUCGGAUCAGGGUUAGCCGGGACCUAAGGAUAAGCCGAAAGGUGAUUUCGAUGGAAAGUGGGUUAAUAUUCCUACGCCUGUGUAUACUGCGAGUUGGGGACGGAGUUGAAGAGUCAUCGCGUACUUACGGAAUAGUACGUUAAAGCGCAAGCGAUAGUACACUGAGGGCUUCGGCCUGAAGUGAUAGUGUGGCGAAUUGACUUCCAGGAAAAGCCGACAAAGCAUCAGGUAUAUACAGCCCGUACCGUAAACCGACACAGGUAGUCGAGGAGAGCAUCCUAAGGCGCUCGAGUGAUUCGUGGCUAAGGAACUAGGCAAAAUGGUCUCGUAACUUCGGGAGAAGAGACGCUGGCAGCAAUGUCAGCCGCAGUGAAGAGGCCCAGGCGACUGUUUAGCAAAAACACAGGGCUAUGCCAAAUCGUAAGAUGAUGUAUAUGGCCUGACACCUGCCCGGUGCCGGAAGGUUAAGGAAGGGGCUUAGUGCGCAAGUGCGAAGGUCUUAACUGAAGCCCCGGUAAACGGCGGCCGUAACUAUAACGGUCCUAAGGUAGCGAAAUUCCUUGUCGGGUAAGUUCCGACCUGCACGAAUGGUGUAACGAUCUGGGCACUGUCUCAGCCACGAGCUCGGUGAAAUUGAAGUAUCGGUGAAGAUGCCGAUUACCCGCAACGGGACGGAAAGACCCCGUGAACCUUUACUACAGCUUUGCAUUGGGCUUGACUAUUCGAUGCGUAGGAUAGGUGGGAGGCGCUGAUCUUGGUAUUCCGGUACUGAGGGAGUCGACGUUGAAAUACCACCCUUUGACUAGUUGAGUCCUAACGGAGAAAUCCAGACAGUGCAUGGUGGGUAGUUUGACUGGGGUGGUCACCUCCUAAAGAGUAACGGAGGUUUGCAAAGGUACCCUCAGCAUGGACGGUAAUCAUGCGAAGAGCGUAUUAGUAUAAGGGUGCUUGACUGAGAGACCGACGGGUCGAUCAGGGACGAAAGUCGGCUAAAGUGAUCCGGUGGUUCCGCAUGGAAGGGCCAUCGCUCAAAGGAUAAAAGGUACUCCGGGGAUAACAGGCUGAUCUCCCCCAAGAGCUCAUAUCGACGGGGAGGUUUGGCACCUCGAUGUCGGCUCGUCGCAUCCUGGGGCUGGAGAAGGUCCCAAGGGUUGGGCUGUUCGCCCAUUAAAGCGGCACGUGAGCUGGGUUCAGAACGUCGCAAGACAGUUCGGUCCCUAUCUGUUGUGGGCGCGAGAAGAUUGAAGAGACCUGACACUAGUACGAGAGGACCGUGUUGGACGAACCUCUUGUGUACCGGUUGUGCCGCCAGGUGCAUUGCCGGGUAGCAAUGUUCGGACGGGAUAAGCGCUGAAAGCAUCUAAGCGCGAAGCCUACUCUGAGAUGAAUCUUCCGAUUAAGGGUCGCAGGAGACUACUGCGUUGAUAGGCGGCAGGUGGAAGUGUGGUGACAUAUUGAGCCGAGCCGUACUAAUUACCCGUAAGCUUCCUUU